UUAAGUUAUUAAGGGCGCACGGUGGAUGCCUUGGCACUAGAAGCCGACGAAGGACGUUACUAACGACGAUAUGCUUUGGGUAGCUGUAAGUAAGCGUUGAUCCAGAGAUUUCCGAAUGGGGGAACCCAGCACGAGUUAUGUCGUGUUAUCGACAAGUGAAUUCAUAGCUUGUCAGAAGGCAGACCCGGAGAACUGAAACAUCUUAGUACCCGGAGGAAGAGAAAGAAAAAUCGAUUCCCUGAGUAGCGGCGAGCGAAACGGGAAGAGCCCAAACCAAUAAGCUUGCUUAUUGGGGUUGUAGGACACUCUAUACGGAGUUACAAAGGAAUAUAUUAGACGAAUCAUCUGGAAAGUUGAAUCAAAGAAGGUAAUAAUCCUGUAGUUGAAAAUAUAUUCUCUCUUGAGUGGAUCCUGAGUACGACGGAGCACGUGAAAUUCCGUCGGAAUCUGGGAGGACCAUCUCCUAAGGCUAAAUACUCUCUAGUGACCGAUAGUGAACCAGUACCGUGAGGGAAAGGUGAAAAGUACCCCGGAAGGGGAGUGAAAGAGAACUUGAAACCGUGUGCUUACAAGUAGUCAGAGCCCGUUAAUGGGUGAUGGCGUGCCUUUUGUAGAAUGAACCGGCGAGUUACGAUCUGAUGCAAGGUUAAGCAGGAAAUGUGGAGCCGUAGCGAAAGCGAGUCUGAAUAGGGCGUUGAGUAUUUGGUCGUAGACCCGAAACCAGGUGAUCUACCCAUGGUCAGGUUGAAGUUCAGGUAACACUGAAUGGAGGACCGAACCGACUUACGUUGAAAAGUGAGCGGAUGAACUGUGGGUAGCGGAGAAAUUCCAAUCGAACUUGGAGAUAGCUGGUUCUCUCCGAAAUAGCUUUAGGGCUAGCCUCAAGUGAUGAUUAUUGGAGGUAGAGCACUGUUUGGACGAGGGGCCCCUCUCGGGUUACCGAAUUCAGACAAACUCCGAAUGCCAAUUAAUUUAACUUGGGAGUCAGAACAUGGGUGAUAAGGUCCGUGUUCGAAAGGGAAACAGCCCAGACCACCAGCUAAGGUCCCAAAAUAUAUGUUAAGUGGAAAAGGAUGUGGCGUUGCCCAGACAACUAGGAUGUUGGCUUAGAAGCAGCCAUCAUUUAAAGAGUGCGUAAUAGCUCACUAGUCGAGUGACACUGCGCCGAAAAUGUACCGGGGCUAAACAUAUUACCGAAGCUGUGGAUUGUCCGUAGGACAAUGGUAGGAGAGCGUUCUAAGGGCGUUGAAGCAUGAUCGCAAGGACAUGUGGAGCGCUUAGAAGUGAGAAUGCCGGUGUGAGUAGCGAAAGACGGGUGAGAAUCCCGUCCACCGAUUGACUAAGGUUUCCAGAGGAAGGCUCGUCCGCUCUGGGUUAGUCGGGUCCUAAGCUGAGGCCGACAGGCGUAGGCGAUGGAUAACAGGUUGAUAUUCCUGUACCACCUAGCAUCGUUUUAAUCGAUGGGGGGACGCAGUAGGAUAGGCGAAGCGUACGAUUGGAUUGUACGUCCAAGCAGUGAGAUUGAGUGUUAGGCAAAUCCGGCACUCUUAAGAUUGAGCUGUGAUGGGGAGAGGAAAUUGUUUCCUCGAGUCGUUGAUUUCACACUGCCGAGAAAAGCCUCUAGAUAGAUAAUAGGUGCCCGUACCGCAAACCGACACAGGUAGUCAAGAUGAGAAUUCUAAGGUGAGCGAGCGAACUCUCGUUAAGGAACUCGGCAAAAUGACCCCGUAACUUCGGGAGAAGGGGUGCUCUUUAGGGUGCAAGCCCAGAAGAGCCGCAGUGAAUAGGCCCAAGCGACUGUUUAUCAAAAACACAGGUCUCUGCUAAACCGUAAGGUGAUGUAUAGGGGCUGACGCCUGCCCGGUGCUGGAAGGUUAAGAGGAGUAGUUAGCUUCUGCGAAGCUACGAAUCGAAGCCCCAGUAAACGGCGGCCGUAACUAUAACGGUCCUAAGGUAGCGAAAUUCCUUGUCGGGUAAGUUCCGACCCGCACGAAAGGCGUAACGAUUUGGGCACUGUCUCAACGAGAGACUCGGUGAAAUCAUAGUACCUGUGAAGAUGCAGGUUACCCGCGACAGGACGGAAAGACCCCGUGGAGCUUUACUGUAGCCUGAUAUUGAAAUUCGGCACAGCUUGUACAGGAUAGGUAGGAGCCUUUGAAACGUGAGCGCUAGCUUACGUGGAGGCGCUGGUGGGAUACUACCCUAGCUGUGUUGGCUUUCUAACCCGCACCACUUAUCGUGGUGGGAGACAGUGUCAGGCGGGCAGUUUGACUGGGGCGGUCGCCUCCUAAAAGGUAACGGAGGCGCUCAAAGGUUCCCUCAGAAUGGUUGGAAAUCAUUCAUAGAGUGUAAAGGCAUAAGGGAGCUUGACUGCGAGACCUACAAGUCGAGCAGGGUCGAAAGACGGACUUAGUGAUCCGGUGGUUCCGCAUGGAAGGGCCAUCGCUCAACGGAUAAAAGCUACCCCGGGGAUAACAGGCUUAUCUCCCCCAAGAGUUCACAUCGACGGGGAGGUUUGGCACCUCGAUGUCGGCUCAUCGCAUCCUGGGGCUGUAGUCGGUCCCAAGGGUUGGGCUGUUCGCCCAUUAAAGCGGUACGCGAGCUGGGUUCAGAACGUCGUGAGACAGUUCGGUCCCUAUCCGUCGUGGGCGUAGGAAAUUUGAGAGGAGCUGUCCUUAGUACGAGAGGACCGGGAUGGACAUACCUCUGGUGUACCAGUUGUCGUGCCAACGGCAUAGCUGGGUAGCUAUGUAUGGACGGGAUAAGUGCUGAAAGCAUCUAAGCAUGAAGCCCCCCUCAAGAUGAGAUUUCCCAACUUCGGUUAUAAGAUCCCUCAAAGAUGAUGAGGUUAAUAGGUUCGAGGUGGAAGCGUGGUGACACGUGGAGCUGACGAAUACUAAUCGAUCGAAGACUUAAUC
rnacentral:rRNA from 1 species